rnacentral:rRNA from 1 species
UGGUGAAUAUUGGACAAUGGGCGAAAGCCUGAUCCAGCCAUGCCGCGUGUGUGAAGAAGGUCGUCGGAUUGUAAAGCACUCUAAGUUGGGAGGAAGGGCAGUAAGCGAAUACCUUGCUGUUCUGACGUUACCGACAGAAUAAGCACCGGCUAACUCUGUGACAGCAGCCGCGGUAAUACAGAGGGUGCAAGCGUUAAUCGGAAUUACUGGGCGUAAAGCGCGCGUAGGUGGUUCGUUAAGUUGAAUGUGAAAGCCCCGGGCUCAACCUGGGAUCUGCAUCCAAAACUGGCGCGCUAGAGUACGGCAGAGGGUGGUGGAAUUUCCUGUGUAGCGGUGAAAUGCGUAGAUAUAGGAAGGAUCACCAGUGGCGAAGGCGACCACCUGGGCUCAUACUGACACUGAGGUGCGAAAGCGUGGGGAGCAAACAGG